rnacentral:lncRNA from 1 species
GCACACCUCCGAGCCCCUUGCACACUCACUCAUCUACAGACAUCCACUUCCCUUGCACACUCACUUCUAUUCGGACCCCCGUGUGCCUUGCACACCCACACCCCUUGCACACCUGUGCCCCUUGCACACUCACUCCUCUUCCGACCCACACGCCCCUUGCACACUCACAUCUCCUCAGACCCCCACACACCUUGCACAUCCACACCCCUUGCACACCCACAGACCUUGCACAAUCACUCCUCUUCCAACCCCCACGCCCCCUGCACACUCACUUUUCCUCAGACCCCCCCACCCCUUGCACACCUGUGCCACUUGCACACUCACACCUCUUCCGACCUCCACACCCCUUGCACUUUCACUUCUUCUCAUACCCGCGCACCCCUUGCACACCUGCACCCCUUGCACACCCGCACCCCUUGCACAUUCACUCCACUUCUGACACCCACACCCGUGGCACACUCACUUCUCCUCAGACCCCCAUGCCCCCUGCACACCAGUGCCCCUUGCACACUCACUGCUCCUACCCCCCAUGCCCCAUGCACACCCACACCCCGUGCACACCAGUGCCCCUUGCACACUCACUCCUCUU